CCUACGGGCGGCAGCAGUGGGGAAUAUUGCGCAAUGGGCGAAAGCCUGACGCAGCGACGCCGCGUGAGGGAUGAAGGUCUUCGGAUCGUACACCUCUGUCAGCAGGGAAGAACGGUCACUGUGCUAAUCAGCAGUGAAUUGACGGUACCUGCAAAGGAAGCACCGGCUAACUCCGUGCCAGCAGCUGCGGUAAUACGGAGGGUGCGAGCGUUAAUCGGAAUUACUGGGCGUAAAGAGCUCGUAGGAGGUAUGUCAAGUCAAGGGUGAAAUCCCCGCGCUCAACGUGGGAACUGCCUUUGAACCUGGCAAACUGGAGUGUGUGAGAGGAUAGUGGAAUUCCAGGUGUAGGAGUGAAAUCCGUAGAUAUCUGGAGGAACAUCAGUGGCGAAGGCGACUAUCUGGCACAUAACUGACGCUGAGGAGCGAAAGCGUGGGUAGCAAACAGGAUUAGAUACCCCAGUAGUC
rnacentral:rRNA from 1 species